AAAUGCAGAAGGCAAAAAACUGCCUAGGAGAUCAUUAAUACAAAAGUAUUAUAUAAACCAAACCUGAUGUUGCCAGCUCCUUCAAUGAAUGCAGCAGUGUGACAGCCAACAAUCAAAAGUAACAAGAUAUCGAGGAAAUGCAGAAGGCAAAAAACUGCGUAGGAGAUCAUUAAUACAAUAGUAUUAUAUAAACCAAGCCUGAUGUUGGCCGCUCAUUCAAAGAAUGCAGCAGUGUGACAGCCAGCAAUCAAAAGUAACAAGAUGUCGAGGAAAUGCAGAGUGUAAUAAACUGUGUAGGAGAUUAUGAUUGCAAUAGAAUAAAAUCGACCAAGCCUGAAGUCCUUCAAUGCACGCAGCAGUGUGACAGCCAGCAAUCAAAAGUUACAAGAUAUCGAGGAAAUACAGAAGGCAAAGAAGCAGAUGUCAUCAAAGAAGAUCUUUGUUCCUGCAAUGUUUCCGCAGACGAUACAUCCAACAGAGCGAAGUGGAAGGAAAAGACUCGGAAUAAAGACCCCACCACCAUAUGGGAACAAUGCAAGGGAGAGAGAGAGAAUAUAAUGUUAUAUUUUUAUUUUUUGAUAACAUAAAAUAAA